UACGUAGGGUGCAGGCGUUAUUCGGAUUUACUGGGCGUAAAGCGUGCGCAGGCGGUUUCUUAAGUCAGAUGUGAAAGCCCCGGGCUUAACCUGGGAACUGCGUUUGAAACUGGGAGACUUGAGUGUGGCAGAGGGAGGUGGAAUUCCACGUGUAGCAGUGAAAUGCGUAGAUAUGUGGAGGAACACCGAUGGCGAAGGCAGCCCCCUGGGUUAACACUGACGCUCAUGCACGAAAGCGUGGGGAGCAAACAGG
rnacentral:rRNA from 1 species